AGCUCCAAUAGCGUAUAUUAAAGUUGUUGCAGUUAAAAAGCUCGUAGUUGGAUUUCUGGUUGGAGCGACCGGUCGGGCAUUGAUUUGUCUGCACUGGAGUCGGUUCCGUCCAUCCUCUCGGAAAGUGCGUAUGGCAUUAAGUUGUCGUGCGUAUGAUCCGGGUCUUUUACUGUGAAAAAAUUAGAGUGUUUAAAGCAGGCCUUCGCCUUGAAUACAUUAGCAUGGAAUAAUAAGAUAGGACUUGGGUCUAUUUUGUUGGUUUGCAGACCGAAGUAAUGAUUAAUAGGGAUAGUUGGGGGUAUUUAUAUUCCGAUGUCAGAGGUGAAAUUCUUAGAUUUUCGGAAGAUAAACUUAUGCGAAAGCAUUUACCAAGGAUGUUUUCAUUA
rnacentral:rRNA from 1 species